rnacentral:lncRNA from 1 species
CGGGGGGGAGAGGGAAGGCGGGGGCAAGAUAGGGUGGGGGGUCAGAGGUCAAUGCUAUUAGAUAUAAAAUAAGCUGCAGGGAUAUAUUGUUCAGUGCAAGGGAUAUCCCGUAUCUUACAAUAACGACAUAGAGUAUAACUUUAAAAAUGGUGAAUCGCUCGAUUUCACACCUGCAACUUGUAUAAUAUUGUUCAUCAACUAUACUUCAAUAUAAAAAGUCAGCAGAUAUGAACAGGAAAACAAUUAGAGUACCUAUUCAAAAUAUCCUGUGAUGUUCAAUGUUUCAAUGGCUAGAACUUUAGCAUAUUGCCAGUUAAAAAUUUAGCAAGCACCCUGCCUAUACGCCACCUGGCAUUUAAACCAUCAUCCCGUCAGUGGCUUGGGUCACCCUCUCACGUCACGUGCUCGGCCUUUCUCUGUAUUUAUUUAGCACCUGCCUCUUUGGAACUAUAUUUAGGAUGUGCUAUUUCCGUUACGGGAAAGACGUCCCGCCUGUCACUGCAGGGCCACGGAGAGAACUCCUGCAGUGGCUAUUGAUGAUAAACACAGGCCAGCGAAGCAGACUGUGACAUUGCUUUUGGACCAGAGCCUCGGCCCUUAGCAGCGCUUUUGCAAACAUGAAUGAGAUGACGGUGCGUCUUGUUCUCUGCAUUGUCUUUCUUUGACAUUUGUUGGGACAGUGGGUGUGUGUUGAUAUCAUUAUUUUGUGUCGUCAGUACACACAAUUGCUAUUUCAAGAAAACAAAGCACAAUCAGUUCAGCCUCAGGACGGAAGCGCAGCCCCGUGGAGGGCGGUGGAAGCCGUGGUUCCACACGUUGUUGGGAGAGAAAGGUUGGUGCUGGUGAAGCCGUGAGUCAGUGUGAUGACCAAGCUCCAGGCCACGACCCUCGGGGACAGCCAGGACCUUGCAGCCUGGGGACACCCAGGCCCCCGAUCACUCAGGGGAGAUGUGUCCGCGUCCGCCGUCCUCCUUCCGGGACGGACGGCCUUUCACCGUCGCUGGCUUAUUUAAUCCUGGCCCCGACGGGGCGCUGAGGGCCUCGCGCACAGGAGCCCGGCUGGCUGACCCGCGUGGAGGCCACACUUGGGUCCACUUCCUCUCGGAGCGGCUACACUAAGCGUCACCACCGAGGGCGACCUUCCAGGGAGGCCGCGCCGCUUGGAAAGGGUCCGCCGAGCGAGGACAAGGUCAGGGCGUCGCUGUCCCCCUUCGCGGCCACCGCACCAGGCCGG